rnacentral:ribozyme from 12 species
GAGUGGAUCACAUUUGUGUUUCGUUCGCUUUUUUUUUUUUUUUUUUUUUUUUUUGUGUUUCGAAGUUUUUUAAGUUUUUUA